CAGCAGCCGCGGGAAAACAGAGGGUGCAAGCGUUAAUCGGAAUUACUGGGCGUAAAGCGCGCGUAGGUGGUUUGUUAAGUUGGAUGUGAAAUCCCCGGGCUCAACCUGGGAACUGCAUCCAAAACUGGCAAGCUAGAGUAUGGUAGAGGGUGGUGGAAUUUCCUGUGUAGCGGUGAAAUGCGUAGAUAUAGGAAGGAACACCAGUGGCGAAGGCGACCACCUGGACUGAUACUGACACUGAGGUGCGAAAGCGUGGGGAGCAAACAGGAUUAGAUACCCGCGUAGUCCCUGUCUCUUAUAC
rnacentral:rRNA from 1 species